rnacentral:rRNA from 1 species
CAUCCGAGUUGUAAUUUAAAGAAGUGUUACCCGCGCUGGACCGUGCACAAGUCCUCUGGAAUGGGGCGUCAUAGAGGGUGAGAAUCCCGUCUUUGGCACGGACUACCAGUGCUUUGUGGUGCGCUCUCGAAGAGUCGAGUUGUUUGGGAAUGCAGCUCAAAAUGGGUGGUAAACUCCAUCUAAAGCUAAAUAUUGGCGAGAGACCGAUAGCGAACAAGUACCGUGAGGGAAAGAUGAAAAGAACUUUGGAAAGAGAGUUAAACAGUACGUGAAAUUGCUGAAAGGGAAACGCUUGAAGUCAGUCGCGUUGGCUGAGAAUCAACCUUGCUCUUGCUGGGUGUACUUCUUAGUCGACGGGUCAGCAUCAGUUUUGACCAUUGGAUAAAGGCAGUUUGAAUGUGGCACCUUCGGGUGUGUUAUAGCUUUCUGUCGCAUACAGUGGUUGGGACUGAGGAACUCAGCACGCCGAAAGGCCGGGUUUUUAACCACGUUCGUGCUUAGGAUGCUGGCAUAAUGGCUUUAAUCGACCCGUCUUGAAACACGGACCAAGGAGUCUAACAUGCCCGCGAGUGUUUGGGUGGAAAACCCGAGCGCGUAAUGAAAGUGAAAGUUGAGAUCUCUGUCGUGGAGAGCAUCGACGCCCAUACCAGAUGUUUACUGACGGAUAUGCGGUAGAGCGUGUAUGUUGGGACCCGAAAGAUG